UCAUGGUGUGGGGUUUUACUGCUACUGGAGAGGGAGGGGUCAGGUUGAGAAAGGAAGCCUUUCAAUUACUGUAGUAGUUAGUAUACCAUCCCAGGCGGCCAGGGAGAGAGGCAUUUAUGCUAUGAAUGUCAUAGAUUUGAUUCUGGCAUGGUCCCGGAGGACUUGAAGAUUGUAAAUGUCUCUCCACUCUUUGUGUGGUGCGUGGCCAAGUUGUUAGGGCGUUGGACUAGUGACCUGAAGGUUGUGAGUUGGAGCCUCAGCUGAGGCAGUGUAUUGAGUCCUUGAGCAAGGCACUCACCCACACUUUGCUCCAGUCAGAGAUAAGGAGAGUUUUUUUUCAGCCAGAGAGAAGUGAAUCUGUGGAAUGCUCUGCCACAGACUGCGGUGGAGGACAAGUCCAUGGGUAUAUUUAAGGGGAAAGUUGACUGUUUCCUGAUCAGUCAUGGCAUCAAAGGAUAUGAAUUGAGAGAGAAGAGAGAAGAAGAACGUAAGUUUGGAAAUCAAGGAGAGGUUAAUGGAGGAAGUCCGAAAAUAUGUACAUUUGGACGACUCCUUGUCGCCACACUAUAAAGACUGCCAAAUGGCAUCAAAUUUGUGGAAUGAAAUUUCCAAAAACAUGGGUCUGGACGUCAUGGAAUGCACAAAGAGAUGGAAAAACUUGAGGGGCAGGUACGUGUGCGCCCGGAAAAAACUCUCCAAGAGGAGCAGGGACCCAGGCGGAAAAAAAAACGGUGUUUUAUUUGCCUCUUUCUUGGCUGGCACCACAUAUUAAGUACCGGGAAACAGAGUCAAACUAUGAUGACAACAAGGAUGGAAAUGAUUCAGCCUCAGAGUUGUCACAGCAGGCAGUGAAGAAAGCUAAUGGCAUGCUGGCCUUCAUAACAAGGGGAGUUGAGUAUAAGAGCAAAGAGGUCCUUCUGCAGCUGUACAGGGCCCUGGUGAGACCACACCUGGAGUAUUGUGUGCAGGUUUGGUCUCCAAAUUUCAGGAAGGACAUUCUUGCUAUUGAGGGAGUGCAACGUAGGUUCACAAGGUUAAUUCCCGGGAUGGCAGGACUGUCAUAUGUCGAAAGAUUGGAGCAACUGGGCUUGUAUACUCUGGAAUUUAGAAGGCUGAGAGGGGAUCUUAUUGAAACAUAUAAGAUUAUUAAGGGAUUGGACACGCUGGAGGCAGGAAGCAUGUUCCCGCUGAUGGGUGAGUCCAGAACCAGAGGCCGCAGUUUAAGAAUAAGGGGAAGGCCAUUUAGAACGGAGUUGAGGAAAAACUUUUUCACCCAGAGAGUGGUGGAUAUAUGGAAUGCUCUGCCCCAGAAGGCUGUGGAGGCCAAGCCUCUGGGUGCUUUCAAGAAAGAGAUGGAUGGAGCUCUUAAAGAUAGCCGAAUCAAAGGUUAUGGGGAUAAGGCAGGAACUGGAUACUGAUUGUGGAUGAUCAGCCAUGAUCACAGUGAAUGGUGGUGCUGGCUCGAAGGGCCAAAUGGCCUACUCCUGCCCCUAUUGUCUGUUGUCUAUUGUCCACCUCCUCAGUUGCUGAGGAAAACUAACCACCAGACAUUCCAUCUUCACGUGCUGAAUCAUCAUCAAAUAGUGAGGCAGCUCCUCCGUUGCCCCACCCAGCUCCUCUGACCCCCCACCCAGCUCCUCUGACCCCCCACACCAUCUCCUCUGACCCCCAGCCCAAGGAUAGCACAGAGGAAGAAGAGGAAAUGACAUGAUGACUGGUUUCAGCAGCAGUUCGCCCAGUUGGAUGAACGUAGGGUGGGACUGGAACGAAGACUGCUGAACGAAAAUGAUGAGGUCUCCAGGUUUGUGCAAGCAUGCGGAGGCUGCCGGAGGAGCACAGGGGCACAGACAACGUUCGCUGUCUACAAAAUGGUAUUUGAGAGGCAGCAGCAGAAACAAUAAACAAUUGCAUAAUCUAUUAUGUUGUCUUUUUUUCAUGUAACACUUUGCAGGUUGUAUAAUGUUGUGCACCGUACUGCAAAUAAAUAACAACUUGACUUUCAGUACACUGGAUGAACUCAGCGGAUCGGGCAGCAUCAGUUAGAAAUGAUGAGUCAUUGCUGCUAACUGGUGCUGCCCGACCUAAAGAGUUCAUCCAGCGUACUGAAAGUGUUGCUUUCAUCACAGCUUCUGCAGAUUAUUUUAUGUUUAUAACUUGACUUUAUAACAGGUCUUUUUUUUUAUUCGAACAGCUACGUAUUAUUUAUGGGUUCAUUUAUUUUAUGUCCUUACAAUUUACUGAUUAAGUUGGCCACGACACCCUGUUUUGUUCUGCCAUGGCAAAAAUCCAUGUGGUGAUUGAGUGAAGGCUAUCAGGUCAUUCUGUCCCAAAUAACUGAUGGCCCAAUAGACUGGAAUCCACUGUUUAUGUGUUUUCACUCCCACUACACUUUAAUGUGAACGGUUUCAGUCUAACUCUCCAAUUACUUGAUCCUGAGGGGUUUAAUAAUGAGAUACAGCCUCUCAAACGUUUGGUAAGAAACAUUGGAGUGGUGAGAGUGGUUCUGCUGAUCAAGUCUUUCCUGUACAUUUAGAAUAUCGCUCUGAAUGCACGCGGCCUUGGUGACGACUGCGUUGAGCAGGUUUGCUAAGAGGAUGUGGAGAAAAGAUACAAGGGUCCUUGGCUCAGUUCACCCUGAGCUGCUGUGUAACAGAGGACUCUCCGAUCUACAGUAUUUUCCCAGGAGGACACAUCAAGACAGCUAUUGCGUUGCUAGAACUUGGCCACAAAUGGUCUUUGGUCUGUGUGAAGUGUGUAGGUUUUCCAGCACAGCGAGAUAUCUGUAAGGAGAGGCUGCCGACGAGCUCACUCCAGGCUGCAGGAGUGCAUGCUGAAGUGUGCACUGAAGCUUGGGGCAAAGCUCGGUGGGGACGGACUGCAUUCCAGAGCCAUUCUGCUGCUGAAUGUUGAGGAUCAGUACCUAGUGGGCAAACAUUGUAAUGGUAUCACCCCAGGGUCCACACGACUACUGGCAAAUAUUGCGACAUGAAUCUGUGUGAACACCACUAGAAUGUAUGAGCCAAGUCGCAAUAAGUAUGUAAGGAGUUUUGCAUUGAGUUAAUUCUUUUUGUAUAAAUACUUUCCAGUGAAUAAAAUCUAUUCAAGAAAAACGUAAAGGCAGUAUUGAAUUGCUGGUAUUAUGCAGACAAUGACGUGAUCCAACUGUAUUCACUGUACAUGUUUUAAAUAUAUUUUGGGAAAAUAUAACACCAUUCCUGUCAGGGCCUGUAUUGAGAUGGGUAAGAGAGAGAGAAGUGGUCAAUGUU